GUGGGUGAGCUGGAUGCUGGCUGUUGAAACGUGCACAGUGAGAGUCUCCUGCUUCAGUGCUGUCUCAUCGGGAUCACUGAAUCAUAGAAUCAGAGUUGCUCAGGUUGGAAAACACCUUAAAGAUCAUCAAGUCCAACUGCAACCUGACCAUACUACCCUAACUGUAACGGAGCUCUGCUAAAUCGUGUCCCUGGUUUGUAGAGCAGAGACUGAUAGGGAUCGAUAUUCAGAAAGGAGCGCAGUUUGGCAGAGGAUGCCAAAGGAGCCUGCUGAGCGUGGCCACAGAUGAUCCCAGCUGAGCGUGGCCACUCACAAACUGAAGAGAACCUCUGUGCUGUGUCAUCAAUUGGAGCUGCAAUAAAUGAUCCUAUAUCAAGCACUGUGCUUUUCAUUCCUCAAAAUGACUUACAAAGUGAGGUAUUCUGAUGGCAUGACUGCAUCACGUGAAUCGGAGCAACUUUUGGAACAAAAAAAAAGGCAAGUUUUUGUUA
ensembl:lncRNA